rnacentral:rRNA from 1 species
AUUGAACGCUGGCGGCAUGCCUUACGCAUGCAAGUCGAACGGCAGCACGGAGCUUGCUCUGGUGGCGAGUGGCGAACGGGUGAGUAAUAUAUCGGAACGUACCCAAGAGUGGGGGAUAACGUAGCGAAAGUUACGCUAAUACCGCAUACGAUCUAAGGAUGAAAGCAGGGGACCGCGAGGCCUUGUGCUCCUGGAGCGGCCGAUAUCUGAUUAGCUAGUUGGUGAGGUAAAGGCUCACCAAGGCAUCGAUCAGUAGCUGGUCUGAGAGGACGACCAGCCACACUGGAACUGAGACACGGUCCGGACUCCUACGGGAGGCAGCAGUGGGGAAUUUUGGACAAUGGGGGCAACCCUGAUCCAGCAAUGCCGCGUGAGUGAAGAAGGCCUUCGGGUUGUAAAGCUCUUUUGUCAGGGAAGAAACGGUCGUGGCUAAUAUCCAUGGCUAAUGACGGUACCUGAAGAAUAAGCACCGGCUAACUACGUGCCAGCCGCCGCAGUAAUAC